UGAAUACGAGACGCUAAGGCGUCGAAGUAGUGUAUGUCAUACUUCCAAGAAAAGCUUGCACUGUCAUAAAUAAAGAAUGCCUGUACCAUAACCGACACAGGUGGGUAAGUAGAGUAUACUAAGGGGCGCGAGAUAACUCUCUCUAAGGAACUCGGCAAAAUAACUCCGUAACUUCGGGAGAAGGAGUGCCUUAUUCUUAAGGUUGCAAUAACAAGAUCCAAGCAACUGUUUAUCAAAAACACAGGUCUCCGCUAAGUCGUAAGACGAUGUAUGGGGGCUGACGCCUGCCCAGUGCCAGAAGGUUAAAGAAGUCGGUUAGCAAUUGCGAAGCUGGUAACUGAAGCCCUGGUGAACGGCGGCCGUAACGAUAACGGUCCUAAGGUAGCGAAAUUCCUUGUCGGGUAAGUUCCGACCCGCACGAAAGGCGUAAUGAUUUGGAUGCUGUCUCGGAGAGAGGCUCGGUGAAAUAGACUUGUCUGUGAAGAUGCGGACUACCUGCACCAGGACAGAAAGACCCUAUGAAGCUUUACUGUAACUUGAAAUUGAAAUUGGACUUUACUCGCGCAGUAUAGGUGGGAGGCGUUGAUUAUAAUCUCGUGGGAUUAUUGGAGCCAUCAGUGAGAUACCACUCUUGUAAUGUUAGAUUUCUAACUUUGAAUCAUUAUCUGGUCAAAGGACAGUUUCAGGCGGGCAGUUUGACUGGGGCGGUCGCCUCCUAAACGGUAACGGAGGCGUACAAAGGUUUCCUCUGAACGGUUAGAAAUCGUAUCUAGAGUGUAAAGGCAUAAGGAAGCUUGACUGUGAGACCUACAAGUCGAGCAGGGACGAAAGUCGGUCUUAGUGAUCUGACGGUACUGAGUGGAAAGGCCGUCACUCAACGGAUAAAAGUUACUCUAAGGAUAACAGGCUGAUCUCCCCCAAGAGUUCACAUCGACGGGGAGGUUUGGCACCUCGAUGUCGGCUCAUCGCAUCCUGGGGCGGUAGUACGUCCCAAGGGUUGGGCUGUUCGCCCAUGAAAGCGGUACGCGAGCUGGGUUCAGAACGUCGCGAGACAGUUCGGUCCAUAUCCGGUGUAGGCGCUAGAAUAUUGAGAGGAGCCUUCUUUAGUACGAGAGGACCGAGAAGGACAUACCUCUGGUGUACCAGUUAUCGUGCCAACGGUAAACGCUGGGUAGCUAUGUAUGGAGUGGAUAACCGCUGAAAGCAUCUAAGUGGGAAGCCCACCUCAAGAUAAG
rnacentral:rRNA from 1 species